AUUGAACGCUGGCGGCAGGCUUAACACAUGCAAGUCGAGCGGGCCCUUCGGGGUCAGCGGCGGACGGGUGAGUAACGCGUGGGAACGUGCCUUCUGGUUCGGAAUAACCCUGGGAAACUAGGGCUAAUACCGGAUACGCCCUUUUGGGGAAAGGUUUACUGCCGGAAGAUCGGCCCGCGUCUGAUUAGCUAGUUGGUGGGGUAACGGCCUAUCAAGGCGACGAUCAGUAGCUGGUCUGAGAGGAUGAUCAGCCACACUGGGACUGCGACACGGCCCAGAUGCCUACGGGAGGCAGCAGUGGGGAAGAUUGGACGAUGGGCGCAAGCCUGGUCCAGCCAUGCCGCGUGAGUGAUGAAGGCCUUAGGGUUGUAAAGCUCUUUUAUCCGGGACGAUAAUGACGGUACCGGAGGAAUAAGCCCCGGCUAACUUCGUGCCAGCAGCCGCCGCAG
rnacentral:rRNA from 1 species